rnacentral:rRNA from 1 species
ACCAGACUCCUACGGGAGGCAGCAGUGGGGAAUAUUGCACAAUGGGGGAAACCCUGAUGCAGCGACGCCGCGUGAGUGAAGAAGUAUUUCGGUAUGUAAAGCUCUAUCAGCAGGGAAGAUAAUGACGGUGCCUGACUAAGAAGCCCCGGCUAACUACGUGCCAGCAGCCGCGGUAAUACGUAGGGGGCAAGCGUUAUCCGGAUUUACUGGGUGUAAAGGGUGCGCAGGUGGCAGGGCAAGUCAGAUGUGAAAGCCCGGGGCUCAACCCCGGUAUUGCAUUUGAAACUGUCCGGCUAGAGUGCAGGAGAGGUAAGCGGAAUUCCUAGUGUAGCGGUGAAAUGCGUAGAUAUUAGGAGGAACACCAGUGGCGAAGGCGGCUUACUGGACAGUAACUGACGUUGAGGCUCGAAAGCGUGGGGAGCAAACAGGAUUAGAUACCCGUGUA